rnacentral:rRNA from 1 species
UACGUAGGGAGCAAGCGUUGUCCGGAAUCAUUGGGCGUAAAGAGCGCGUAGGCGGCCCUGUAAGUCCGUUCUGAAAGUCAAAGGCUCAACCUUUGAAAGCGGAUGGAUACUGCAGGGCUAGAGUCCGGAAGAGGCGAGUGGAACUCCUGGUGUAGCGGUGGAAUGCGCAGAUAUCAGGAAGAACACCAACGGCGAAGGCAGCUCGCUGGGACGGAACUGACGCUAAGGCGCGAAAGCGUGGGGAGCGAACGAGG